AACGAACGUUGGCGGCGUGGAUUAGGCAUGCAAGUCGAACGAAUCCCAGUUUUGUAGCAAUACCGAGCUGGGGGAAGUGGCGAAAGGGGCAGUAAUACAUGGGCAACCUACCCCGGGGACGGGGAUAGCCUUCCUAACGGAUGGGUAAUACCUGGCGAUUUGGUUGAGGGGCAUCUCUUGACCAGGAAAUGAAUUUCGCCUCGGGAGGGGCUCAUGCGAUAUUAGCUUGUUGGCGGGGUAACAGCCCACCAAGGCAAAGAUGUCUAGCGGGUGUGAGAGCACGACCCGCGCCACUGGCACUGAGACACUGGCCAGACACCUACGGGUGGCUGCAGUCGAGGAUCUUCGGCAAUGGGCGCAAGCCUGACCGAGCGACGCCGCGUGGACGAUGAAGGCCUUCGGGUUGUAAAGUCCUGUCGAGGGGGAGGAAAGCCGAAAGGUUUGACCUAUCCCUGGAGGAAGCACGGGCUAAGUUCGUACCAGCCGCCGCCGUAAGAC
rnacentral:rRNA from 1 species